UACGAAGGGUGCAAGCGUUAAUCGGAAUUACUGGGCGUAAAGCGUGCGUAGGUGGUCUUUUAAGUCCGUUGUGAAAGCCCUGGGCUCAACCUGGGAAUGGCAGUGGAUACUGGAAGGCUGGAGUACGGUAGAGGAGGGUGGAAUUCCCGGUGUAGCGGUGAAAUGCGUAGAUAUCUGGAGGAACACCGGUGGCGAAGGCGGCAUCCUGGACCAACACUGACACUGAGGAGCGAAAGCCAGGGGAGCAAACGGG
rnacentral:rRNA from 1 species